rnacentral:misc_RNA from 1 species
GCAAACUUGGUCAUUUAGAGGAAGUAAAAGUCGUAACAAGGUUUCCGUAGGUGAACCUGCGGAAGGAUCAUUAUCGAGUUUUGAAAGCGAGAGGUCUGUGCUGGCGCGGAAACGCGCAUGUGCACGGCUUUUUCGUGCUCAAAUCCAAUCAACCCCUGUGCACCUAAAGAGUCGGGAGUCAGUAGCCUCUGUAAUCGAAUUGCUUGUAGUGAGCGACUCGAACGGAGGAGGCGAAAGCUUUUGGCUAAUUUAUAAACACCUUUUGUUUGUAAUGUGAAUGUAAUGCUCCUCGUGGGCGAUAAUGGAAUACAACUUUCAACAACGGAUCUCUUGGCUCUCGCAUCGAUGAAGAACGCAGC